CAAGCGUCAGAGAUAGAAGCAGCACAGAACUAGCUAAGAUCAAGCAUUGUAACAGUUCUUAUCAGUUCAAUAUCUGAUAUGUCUUCAAUGGGAAGACUUUCUAUUAAACAGAUUUUGGGAUUCAGGAGUUGGAUCUGGAGCUCACUCUUUUCACUCUGUGUGCUGUUCUGACAUCGUGAAGGUGGCACUGAGGGA
rnacentral:snRNA from 12 species